GAUGAACGCUGGCGGCGUGCCUAACACAUGCAAGUCGAACGAACAGACCAGGAGCUUGCUCGUCUGACGUUAGCGGCGGACGGGAGAGUAACAUGUGGAUAAACUACCUAUCAGACUGGGAUAAUUACGGGAAACCGGAUCUUAUACCGUAUAAUAUAUUGCACCGCAUGGUGCAAUAGUGAAAGUCGGUUGUGCUGUCACUAAUAGAUGGCUACGCGCGGGAUUCGCUGGUUGGUAAUGUAACGGCUUACCAAGGCAAGGAGGCGUAGACGACCGGAACGGGUGGUCGCCCACCUGGGAACGGAGACUGGGUCCAGACACCUGCGGUAGGCAGCAGUCGCGAAUCUUCCGCAAGGGAGGAGAGCCUGACAGAGCAACGCGGCGUGAGUGAUGAAGAUCUUCUGAUCGGAAAACUCUGUUAGUAGGGGAGAACAAAUGUGUAAUUAACUAUGCACGUAUUGACGGUACCUAAUCAGAAAGCCCCGGCUAACUACGUG
rnacentral:rRNA from 1 species